AACGAACGCUGGCGGCAUGCCUAACACAUGCAAGUCGAACGAGACCUUCGGGUCUAGUGUCGCACGGGUGCGUAACGCGUGGGAACCUGCCCUUAGGUUCGGAAUAACUCCCCGAAAGGGGUGCUAAUACCGGAUAAUGUCUUCGGACCAAAGAUUUAUCGCCUUUGGAUGGGCCCGCGUUGGAUUAGCUAGUUGGUAGGGUAAAAGCCUACCAAGGCGACGAUCCAUAGCUGGUCUGAGAGGAUGAUCAGCCACACUGGGACUGAGACACGGCCCAGACUCCUACGGGAGGCAGCAGUGGGGAAUAUUGGACAAUGGGCGAAAGCCUGAUACAGCAAUGCCGCGUGAGUGAUGAAGGCCUUAGGGUUGUAAAGCUCUUUUAACCGGGAUGAUAAUGACAGUACCGGGAGAAUAAGCACCGGCUAACUCCGUG
rnacentral:rRNA from 1 species